GAGAAUGCCGGUGUGAGUAGCGAAAGACGGGUGAGAAUCCCGUCCACCGAUUGACUAAGGUUUCCAGAGGAAGGCUCGUCCGCUCUGGGUUAGUCGGGUCCUAAGCUGAGGCCGACAGGCGUAGGCGAUGGAUAACAGGUUGAUAUUCCUGUACCACCUAUAAUCGUUUUAAUCGAUGGGGGGACGCAGUAGGAUAGGCGAAGCGUGCGAUUGGAUUGCACGUCUAAGCAGUAAGGCUGAGUAUUAGGCAAAUCCGGUACUCGUUAAGGCUGAGCUGUGAUGGGGAGAAGACAUUGUGUCUUCGAGUCGUUGAUUUCACACUGCCGAGAAAAGCCUCUAGAUAGAAAAUAGGUGCCCGUACCGCAAACCGACACAGGUAGUCAAGAUGAGAAUUCUAAGGUGAGCGAGCGAACUCUCGUUAAGGAACUCGGCAAAAUGACCCCGUAACUUCGGGAGAAGGGGUGCUCUUUAGGGUUAACGCCCAGAAGAGCCGCAGUGAAUAGGCCCAAGCGACUGUUUAUCAAAAACACAGGUCUCUGCUAAACCGUAAGGUGAUGUAUAGGGGCUGACGCCUGCCCGGUGCUGGAAGGUUAAGAGGAGUGGUUAGCUUCUGCGAAGCUACGAAUCGAAGCCCCAGUAAACGGCGGCCGUAACUAUAACGGUCCUAAGGUAGCGAAAUUCCUUGUCGGGUAAGUUCCGACCCGCACGAAAGGCGUAACGAUUUGGGCACUGUCUCAACGAGAGACUCGGUGAAAUCAUAGUACCUGUGAAGAUGCAGGUUACCCGCGACAGGACGGAAAGACCCCGUGGAGCUUUACUGUAGCCUGAUAUUGAAAUUCGGCACAGCUUGUACAGGAUAGGUAGGAGCCUUUGAAACGUGAGCGCUAGCUUACGUGGAGGCGCUGGUGGGAUACUACCCUAGCUGUGUUGGCUUUCUAACCCGCACCACUUAUCGUGGUGGGAGACAGUGUCAGGCGGGCAGUUUGACUGGGGCGGUCGCCUCCUAAAAGGUAACGGAGGCGCUCAAAGGUUCCCUCAGAAUGGUUGGAAAUCAUUCAUAGAGUGUAAAGGCAUAAGGGAGCUUGACUGCGAGACCUACAAGUCGAGCAGGGUCGAAAGACGGACUUAGUGAUCCGGUGGUUCCGCAUGGAAGGGCCAUCGCUCAACGGAUAAAAGCUACCCCGGGGAUAACAGGCUUAUCUCCCCCAAGAGUUCACAUCGACGGGGAGGUUUGGCACCUCGAUGUCGGCUCAUCGCAUCCUGGGGCUGUAGUCGGUCCCAAGGGUUGGGCUGUUCGCCCAUUAAAGCGGUACGCGAGCUGGGUUCAGAACGUCGUGAGACAGUUCGGUCCCUAUCCGUCGUGGGCGUAGGAAAUUUGAGAGGAGCUGUCCUUAGUACGAGAGGACCGGGAUGGACAUACCUCUGGUGUACCAGUUGUCGUGCCAACGGCAUAGCUGGGUAGCUAUGUGUGGACGGGAUAAGUGCUGAAAGCAUCUAAGCAUGAAGCCCCCCUCAAGAUGAGAUUUCCCAACUUCGGUUAUAAGAUCCCUCAAAGAUGAUGAGGUUAAUAGGUUCGAGGUGGAAGCAUGGUGACAUGUGGAGCUGACGAAUACUAA
rnacentral:rRNA from 1 species